AGCGAACGCUGGCGGCAGGCCUAACACAUGCAAGUCGAGCGCCCAGCAAUGGGAGCGGCAGACGGGAGAGUAACACGUGGGAACGUGCCUUUUGGUUCGGAAUAACUCAGGGAAACUUGAGCUAAUACCGGAUAAGCCCUUACGGGGAAAGAUUUAUUGCCAAAAAGAGCGGCCCGCGUCCGAUUAGCUAGUUGGUGAGGUAAUGGCUCACCAAGGCGACGAUCGGUAGCUGGUCGAGAGGAUGACCAGCCUCAUUGGGACUGAGACACGGCCCAAACUCCUACGGGAGGCAGCAGUGGGGAAUAUUGGACAAUGGGCGCAAGCCUGAUCCAGCCAUGCCGCGUGAGUGAUGAAGGCCUUAGGGUUGUAAAGCUCUUUUAGCAGGGAAGAUAAUGACGGUACCUGCAAGAAAAGCCCCGGCUAACUUCGUGCCAGCAGCCGCCGUAAG
rnacentral:rRNA from 1 species